rfam:Otolemur garnettii contig101498, whole genome shotgun sequence.
AGCCGAUCUUAAAGAAUCAGCUUUCAGAUGCCUUCCUACAGUUUCCUGGGAGCACAAGACGGUUU